rnacentral:rRNA from 1 species
GCAGUCGAGCGGAACGAGUUAUCUGAACCUUCGGGGGACGAUAACGGCGUCGAGCGGCGGACGGGUGAGUAAUGCCUAGGAAAUUGCCCUGAUGUGGGGGAUAACCAUUGGAAACGAUGGCUAAUACCGCAUGAUGCCUACGGGCCAAAGAGGGGGACCUUCGGGCCUCUCGCGUCAGGAUAUGCCUAGGUGGGAUUAGCUAGUUGGUGAGGUAAGGGCUCACCAAGGCGACGAUCCCUAGCUGGUCUGAGAGGAUGAUCAGCCACACUGGAACUGAGACACGGUCCAGACUCCUACGGGAGGCAGCAGUGGGGAAUAUUGCACAAUGGGCGCAAGCCUGAUGCAGCCAUGCCGCGUGUGUGAAGAAGGCCUUCGGGUUGUAAAGCACUUUCAGUCGUGAGGAAGGUGGUGUAGUUAAUAGCUGCAUUAUUUGACGUUAGCGACAGAAGAAGCACCGGCUAACUCCGUGCCAGCAGCCGCGGUAAUACGGAGGGUGCGAGCGUUAAUCGGAAUUACUGGGCGUAAAGCGCAUGCAGGUGGUUUGUUAAGUCAGAUGUGAAAGCCCGGGGCUCAACCUCGGAAUAGCAUUUGAAACUGGCAGACUAGAGUACUGUAGAGGGGGGUAGAAUUUCAGGUGUAGCGGUGAAAUGCGUAGAGAUCUGAAGGAAUACCGGUGGCGAAGGCGGCCCCCUGGACAGAUACUGACACUCAGAUGCGAAAGCGUGGGGAGCAAACAGGAUUAGAUACCCUGGUAGUCCACGCCGUAAACGAUGUCUACUUGGAGGUUGUGGCCUUGAGCCGUGGCUUUCGGAGCUAACGCGUUAAGUAGACCGCCUGGGGAGUACGGUCGCAAGAUUAAAACUCAAAUGAAUUGACGGGGGCCCGCACAAGCGGUGGAGCAUGUGGUUUAAUUCGAUGCAACGCGAAGAACCUUACCUACUCUUGACAUCCAGAGAACUUUCCAGAGAUGGAUUGGUGCCUUCGGGAAC